GACGAACGCUGGCGGCGUGCCUAAUACAUGCAAGUAGAACGCACAGUUUAUACCGUAGCUUGCUACACCAUAGACUGUGAGUUGCGAACGGGUGAGUAACGCGUAGGUAACCUGCCUGGUAGCGUGGGAUAACUAUUGGAAACGAUAGCUAAUACCUCAUAAUAUUAAUUAUUGCAUGAUAAUUAAUUGAAAGGUGCAAUUGCACCACUACCAGAUGGACCUGCGUUGUAUUAGCUAGUAGGUGAGGUAACGGCUCACCUAGGCGACGAUACAUAGCCGACCUGAGAGGGUGAUCGGCCACACUGGGACUGAGACAAGGCCCAGACUCCUACGGGAGGCAGCAGUAGGGAAUCUUCGGCAAUGGACGAAAGUCUGACCGAGCAACGCCGCGUGAGUGAAGAAGGUUUUCGGAUCGUAAAGCUCUGUUGUAAGAGAAGAACGGGUGUGAGAGUGGAAAGUUCACACUGUGACGGUAUCUUACCAGAAAGGGACGGCUAACUACGU
rnacentral:rRNA from 1 species